CGCUGGCGGCAUGCCUAACACAUGCAAGUCGAACGAGACCUUCGGGUCUAGUGGCGCACGGGUGCGUAACACGUGGGAAUUUGCCUCGGGGUAUGGAAUAACUCAGGGAAACUUGAGCUAAUACCAUAUAAUGUCUUCGGACCAAAGAUUUAUCGCCCUGAGAUAAGCCCGCGUAGGAUUAGCUAGUUGGUGGGGUAAAGGCUCACCAAGGCGACGAUCCUUAGCUGGUCUGAGAGGAUGAUCAGCCACACUGGGACUGAGACACGGCCCAGACUCCUACGGGAGGCAGCAGUGGGGAAUAUUGGACAAUGGGCGAAAGCCUGAUCCAGCAAUGCCGCGUGAGUGAUGAAGGCCUUCGGGUUGUAAAGCUCUUUACUCGGGACGAUAAUGACGGUACCGAGAGAAUAAGCCCCGGCUAACUCCGUG
rnacentral:rRNA from 1 species